rnacentral:lncRNA from 1 species
UCGUCGCCGGGCGCCGUCCGUCGUCGUUUGUCGCUUCGGUGAGCACCUUUGAGAUCGUAUCGUUUCCCUCUACGCGUAGGUACCCACCAAAGGCCCGGCCGAGCCUCCUAGCGCCGGCGAGGUCGUCGCCUUUGCCAUGGCCGGCAUAGAUGACGUCAGCAUGACGUCAUAACCAUUUCUUUUUAGUUUUUUUUAAUAGAUGAAAUAGAUUAAAACUUCGGAAAAUCAUAACUAAUUCAUCGUAGCUCCGAUUCGAGUGGUUCAAGUUGCUAAAUUUUUCUAAAAUUGAGAUCUACAUGUUAAAAAUAUCCACAUGUACUGUUUAUGCUUGUUUUUGUACUGUUUUGUUGAUUUUGUUUAUUUGCUUUAGUUUCCGACGUUCCCGAGGAGAGCGUUUCAGUUGAGGAAUGUUCACAGGUUUUUGUGGAAGCUCAAGGCAAGUCACACAAAUCCCAAACAACCUUUUGAGCAUGUUGAACCCGUUUAAAGCUAAUGUUUUAUUUCAACUUAUGCAUUAUUUUCGAAUGUCAUCGGGUGGUGAACCUUUCCUAGUUAAUUAAUGGCCGAAGAUGACUUUAUUUUCUCAAUGGGUUAUAAAUUGAUUAGCUUGGACCUUAUAUAUUGGAUUGGUUCAGCUAAAUGCUAUAUGUAUGUUUGCUUAGUCAUGCUUAGAAACAUUAGCUAAUUAAAGGGGACUAAAUAUAUAUUAUAUUAUAUUAUUAUUAUUAAUUAUGGUUAUAAUUAUUGGUAGCUCACGAUGGUUAAUCGUGUUGUGUUAUGUUAAUUAAUUGAUAAUUUGAACCUGGUUAAGGUGGGUUGUGAGCAUGUGGUUUUGAUGGAUGUGCUCAUGACAAUUAAGGACCAGAGCAUGUGGUUUUGAUGGUUGUGCUCAUGACAAUUAAGGACCAGUUCGCGAGCUACUGUUGUGAAAUAUUUACCGUGCCAACCACAAGCCAGCGUGGGCAAUGGCUUUAUCUUUUGUAUAGCAUGAUUCAUAAUAGUGUGCCAGACUGUGAAGCGGCGAGAAGUCCGUGGGGGUCGCUGGGGAGUCCAUUGCCUCUGGUUUUGAGGGGGAGAUUAUGAUCCAGGAACGGUGCACUGUGGUGAGUUGUGUUGUGCGAGGGGUAUUGUCAUAAUUCCUUUACAAGGUAUCGUGGUGGUACUGAGGCGCAUGGUGACAUGUUGUGGGAUUGUGUCUUGUGGGUACAUUUGUACACCUGAUGAGAGUAAAACUAUUCGAAUAGCCGUGCCCGCGGUUAUGGGUGAGUUGAGCAAUGUUUUUCGUAAUUAGUCUCACAUUAUUCAUUAAUGGUAAUUGUGCUAAUUAAUUUGACUCCUGGUUUGGAAUGGUAUAUUCCUGUUAUGGAGGUUUGAUUUGUACAACCGGGGUUGGUUGUUCAGAUGAGGUUGGGCCUAUGCAACACGGGUGUGUUGUAUGGUGUUUAUUUAAUACUGAUUAAUUAAUCAACUGUUUUACUAUUCUCUUAAAUAUUUAUUAAAUGCUAUUUAUGCAAAUGAGCUAUAUUAUGCCAUCCUUUGUUAUCCUGUGCACUUGCAUAUUUGCUGUGUGGCUUGUUGAGUAUGUCAUAUGCUCAUUCUUGCAAUAUUCAUUUAUCAGAGGAGGAGUACUUCAGUGAAGGUGAUAAUCUAGAGGACUAGGCUUGGUCCGGGUUAAGUUGCUUGUGGAGUGGAGUCGCCAUAGCUGUUGCGUAGUUUGUUUUUUUUUUCCGCUGCGUAGAAUGUUAUUCUUUGAGAGGAACUAUCCACCUCUGUAAU